UGUGAAAGGAAAGAGGAAGUUGCAGUUAGGGCUGAAGGGGAAAGGAGGAGGAGGAGGAGGUCAUUGGCCUUCCACCGUGUUAGACCACCACCAUAAUACUCAGUAAUUUAUCCUAGGGCAGAAGCCUUGCACCAGCUACUCAGGAGGCUGAAUCAGAAGGACUGCAAAUUCAAGCCCAGCCUAGAUUCACUGGAUAGAAGCAGUGUCAGGAGUUCUCUCGGCCAGGUACAGUUCACCUCCGCGGCCAAGCCGGUGCCCUCCCGCCCUGUUCAGCCCCUCUACAUGGAGCCCUGGGGUCCCUGCAGCCGGCUCUGGGCUCAGCCCUGCCCGGAACAUCGAAAGUUAAAGGAAGAAGAUCAAAGCUUUUCUGAUGACUUCACACAGUGGGGUGUGGUAAGGUCACCCUGGUCCUGCUGGGCACUGCUAUUUCAUUCUUCUGUGACAGAGUCUCCCACCUCAUAGUCCAGGCUGGCCUUGGACUGGUGAUUCUCCUGCUUCAGCCUCUCACCUGCUGGGACCACAGGUCUGCAUUACCAUGCCCAGUUAUUCCUUUUCAUGCUUGAGUAAAAUUCUGUUGCAAAGCUCUUAGGUUUUUCUAAAAUCCAUUUUUGGCUAUUAAGAGUAAUGCUGAUUUGAACAAUCAUGGACAGGUUUUGUUU
rnacentral:lncRNA from 1 species